rnacentral:rRNA from 1 species
UACGUAGGGGGCUAGCGUUGUCCGGAUUUAUUGGGCGUAAAGGGCGCGUAGGCGGCUUCGUAAGUCAAAGGUGAAAUCCCUCGGCUCAACUGAGGAACUGCCUUUGAAACUGCGAGGCUUGAGGCCGGGAGGGGGUAGCGGAAUUCCCAGUGUAGCGGUGAAAUGCGCAGAUAUCGGGAGGAACACCAAUGGCGAAGGCAGCUCGCUGGGACGUUACUGACGCUGAGACACGAAGGCCAGGGGAGCAAACGGG